rnacentral:tRNA from 1 species
GCCUGAGUGGUGAAACUGGUAGACACGCCAGACUCAAAAUCUGGUGGUAGCAAUAUCGUGUCGGUUCGAGUCCGACCUCAGGUACCA